AGCAACUUGGGAGAAUGCUUCUUAUUUUAAAGUAGAGUAAGUAUUCAUGAAAUUUGAAUAUAGUUCUAGGUAAAAAUUUGAUAAUGACAAAGUUUUAUCUAUUUGUCUUGACCAAAUCUUGUGCCAGCAGUCGCGGCAACACAAGGAAGACAAGUGUUAUUCAUCUUAAAUCGGUUUAAGGGGUACCUAGACGGUAAAUUACGCCAUAGUAGGAACGUUUUUACUAGAGUUAUACAUGCAUGGGGAUUGUGUCAGUAUUACCAGAGUAGAGAUGAAAUUUUUUGAUACUGUUAAGACUGGUAAAGGCGAAAGCAAACCUUUAUAUAUUAACUGACGUUGAGGGACGAAGGCUUGGGGAGCAAACAGGAUUAGAUACCCUAAUAGUCCAGGCAGAGAAUUAUGAAUGUCAUA
rnacentral:rRNA from 1 species